CGGUGAAUUUUGAGGUUCGAAACUUUGAAGUUUCGCUUAUUGGGCGUACCAGGUUGAAUUUGUCAAAAUGAUUGACGCCAUGGCUGUUCAAAGCAAAGCCAGGCACGGUUUCCCUACUAUCUGUCCCCAAAUUUUAUCCCAAUGAAUCAGAGACCAAGCUCAAGGUAGAAUUAUUUUCAUUGAUCCAUGAUCAUGAGAUGUUUCUUGAUUGCCCAUGAUUCAUGAUUUCAUCCAAUAGUUACUUGAUUUCAGCCAAUGCUAAAUUCCUUGUUUUCUCUUCAGCAUUUCCCUUGAUUUGAUUUUACAAUGAUUUGGUUUCAAGCAAAAUACCCCGUCUUCUGCUCUGUAAAUUUAUGUAGAAUUAUGGGUUUUUGUGAUGAUUACUGUUCCUGCAAAACCCCCUUUUUACUUUGUAGUGAAUGAAAAGAUGGGUUUCUUUAGUUGAUUUCAGUCUCUAUUGAAAGCCCUGUUUAUCUUCCUUUAAAUUCUAUAAAAAAUGGGAUCACUAGCUACACAUGUCUCAGCCUUUGCGUUUCUCUUUCCUUUGGGAGUAAGACGCUUGGUCUGUUCAUUCUCAUUUUAUCUCAAGUCCCCAUCACAUUACAGGCCCAAAACAUGGUAUUUCAAUGAACCCAAGUGGAAAAACUUUGAUGUCUAUAUCCUCCUCAUUGCCCUUCCCAUCUCUGCAUUCUCUGAAAUCUUCUGGUUUUUAACUUUUGGAGGUCACCCCGUUUAUCGAUUCGCCUUUUUCCAACAAGCUGCAGUCUUACUCCUCUUCUGGAUUAUCAUUCUUUUGGUAAUUCUCAGAGAAAGUUUUGAUUUUUUCGUGGUCCAUGAGAAUGUCAUGUUCUUCUUCUCUGGUAUGGUUUUCCUUAUGGAGUAUAUGAUCCAGGUUGAUAGAGACUCUGGAUUAUCAGGCCAUACUUAUGAUUUGUUGGGGAAUUUGAGCCUUGUUUGUUCAGCUUCAUGCUUGAUUCUCUCUCUACAACCAAUUGCCUUCUUUGCAGAGGUUGCACUUUCUUGUGGCCUUGUAUUUAAGGGGACAUGGAUUCUCCAAUGUGGAUUUUCUUUAUUCACCAGUGGAUUUAUGCCGAAAGGGUGCCAGAGGGUUUCAGAGCUUCCCUCCUAUGAUAAAAGCUCUAUAAAGUGUGAAUUAGAGGAGGACGGUUUAAGGGGCAUGGCCUUGAUUGAUCUUUUGUUUGUGGGUCAUGCUAUAGGGGUGAUGCUUUUCAGUUUCUUGCUAUUUGGGUAUCUCUCUUUUGGCCAGAAUUUGAGAUAUGGAAGUGGAAGUACUGAAUCAGAUGCUAUGCUUAUGCGGCCUUUGCCUGAAUUUGAAAUUGAAUAGCAGAGAUAUUGUCUUCUUAUUAAUCAGUCCUUUACCUGAAGCAAGUAUUUUCACAAGAAUAUGAUGUUGAGAUGGAGGAGGGGUAUAAUACCUAUAGAAAUUCCGUGGGGAAGUUUCCAUUGGAAUGUAGAAUUGCUCGUUGACUAAUUCCAAAUAGAAAAGAGGUGGUGGAGAUUGAUUAUCAGUGGUUAUAGUAGUUUGUUUCAAUCACAAAUUUUCCACUUAACAAGAACUCUCGAAGAGAGGGAGGAUGGAGGGAGGGAGGGAGAGAGAUUAAUUUCAGUAGUACUUGGUAUCCACAACAGAGGAGAGUAAGUACC